rnacentral:rRNA from 1 species
GACGAACGCUGGCGGCGUGCCUAAUACAUGCAAGUAGAACGCACAGUUUAUACCGUAGCUUGCUACACCAUAGACUGUGAGUUGCGAACAGGUGAGUAACGCGUAGGUAACCUGCCUGGUAGCGGGGGAUAACUAUUGGAAACGAUAGCUAAUACCGCAUAAUAUUGAUUAUUGCAUGAUAAUUGAUUGAAAGAUGCUAUUGCAUCACUACCAGAUGGACCUGCGUUGUAUUAGCUAGUAGGUGAGGUAACGGCUCACCUAGGCGACGAUACAUAGCCGACCUGAGAGGGUGAUCGGCCACACUGGGACUGAGACACGGCCCAGACGCCUACGGGAGGCAGCAGUAGGGAAUCUUCGGCAAUGGAAGAAAGUCUGACCGAGCAACGCCGCGUGAGUGCAGAAGGUUUUCGGAUCGUAAAGCUCUGUUGUAAGAGAAGAACGGGUGUGAGAGUGGAAAGUUCACACUGUGACGGUAUCUUACCAGAAAGGGACGGCUAACUACGUG